CCCUUAGAUGUUCUGGGCCGCACGCGCGCUACACUGAUGCAUUCAACGAGCCUAUCCUUGACCGACAGGUCCGGGUAAUCUUUGAAUCUGCAUCGUGACGGGGAUAGAUUAUUGCAAUUAUUAAUCUUCAACGAGGAAUGCCAAGUAGGCGCAAGUCAUCAGCUUGCGUCGAUUACGUCCCUGCCCUUUGUACACACCGCCCGUCGCUCCUACCGAUUGGGUGUGCUGGUGAAAUGUUCGGAUCGGCCGUUUGUCGCGGUUUCCGCGGCUCGUGGCUGAGAAGUUCAUUAAACCCUCCCACCUAGAGGAAGGAGAAGUCGUAACA
rnacentral:rRNA from 1 species